UGCUUGCACUCGACUGGAAAGAGGAGUGGCGGACGGGUGAGUAACACGUGGGUAACCUGCCCAUAAGUGGGGGAUAACAUUCGGAAACGGAUGCUAAUACCGCAUAAUUCUGAUUGCCGCAUGGCAGACAGAUGAAAGGUGGCUUCGGCUACCGCUUAUGGAUGGACCCGCGGCGUAUUAGCUAGUUGGUGAGGUAAUGGCUCACCAAGGCAAUGAUACGUAGCCGACCUGAGAGGGUGAUCGGCCACACUGGGACUGAGACACGGCCCAGACUCCUACGGGAGGCAGCAGUAGGGAAUCUUCCGCAAUGGACGAAAGUCUGACGGAGCAAUGCCGCGUGAGUGAAGAAGGUUUUCGGAUCGUAAAACUCUGUUGUUAGAGAAGAACAAGGAUGAGAGUAACUGCUCAUCCCCUGACGGUAUCUAACCAGAAAGCCAUGGCUAACUACGUGCCAGCAGCCGCGGUAAUACGUAGAUGGCAAGCGUUGUCCGGAUUUAUUGGGCGUAAAGCGAGCGCAGGCGGUUCUUUAAGUCUGAUGUGAAAGACCCCA
rnacentral:rRNA from 1 species